rnacentral:lncRNA from 1 species
AGAGCACAAGUAGGCAGAGCGGCAGGCAGAGGGAGAGGGAGAAGCAGGAUCCUGCUGAGCAGGGAGCCUGAUGCAGGGCUCGAUCCCAGGAUUUCGGGUUCCUGACCAGACCUUAAGGCAGACGCCGGCCUCCAGAACUGGCCUCAUAGUCAGGACACCCCUGCCUCCCACCUCUUCAACGCAAAAUCUGGGGCUUUUUGAGGAUGCUGCUUUGGAGUUUUCUAGAAAAAGAAUCACUGAGUAUGUGUCCUGUUUGGCUUCUUGCCCUUGAGGUAAGGAUUUCGAGACUUGCCUAUGUGGCUGUGCGCAUCCGU